CAUUGGGAGCUACAAAGGGGUUAAUCACACCAGUGCUUUGGCAACUGCUGAGCAGGGCUGGCGCAGCAUCCGCCUUGUCAGCUUCCUCCCUUGAAUCGGGGGCAAGAUCAUGGGAGGGGAUACAGACAGGCCAGUUGAGCCAAAUGGACCAAAGGGACAUUGCAGAAUAUAUGGUGUCAGCUCAGCUACAAGAGCUCACGAAAGGAACAGGAAAGGGGGAAUCCAUUUUUUUACAAUACUUGCCUUCUGAGCGGCCUCUCUGUGUGGUGAAGCCCUGCUUCACCUGAAGUGGCCAUGUUGCAAAAUAACUGAAGUUUAGCAAUUGGUAGUAGAAUGGCUAAGGCUUAGUAAGAGAGUAGGCCUAGAAAGCAACACUCCAAAGUAGUAAGUUAGCAACCUUGUUUGUGAGCAUAGAAUGUGCUGAAGAAGUGAAACAAUAAUCAAAGGAUUUAGUCAAGCAUGUAUAUAAUGAUUUUCAAGCAUGUAUAUAAUGAUUUGUUACCUUGGAUAUGGUAAGGGUCUGUUAAACAGUUUCUAGGAGUAAGACAACUUAAGCAGAUUUAUGAUUAGAAUAGAUGAUUAUUAAUUGUUAUCAGUAUGAAGUAUGAGCUUGUUUGUAACUGUACCUGGUUUGCUGUGGAAACUGUAACUGUUUUGCUGUGGAAACUGCACGUAAACUUGUUUGUGUAUAAAAGCUGAACUGAGAAUGAGGGUCUUCGGAAUCCUGACUUGGGACGCUAGUCCGCAGGUUCCCGGGCCCUGAAUAAAGCACCGCAUAAACCGGCA